CCGGUUUUACCGAUUUCCUUGGCUUGGGAUCAGCGCUUGGAGUAAAAACACGUUAUUAUAGUACACAACACGAGCGGACUCUUUUCUUCAAAUUCUUUCUUUGCUUUUAUGCCAAUAAUGAGCCACUACUAUGAGGACCACCCAACUCACUUAUACAACUAGUGGAAUAACUAGAAGGGGACCCCGCUUGCUAGGAGAGGAAUGACUUUACUAUAUUUAUGCUUUAGGUUUAGGCAGGAAGAGCGCCCUGCCUCUAUCGAUCCAUAACUCCUGUAGGCGAGGGAGGAACUGGGACCAGUAACUCUCUUGUUGAAGGAAUGCCCGAUCCAGAUAACUGGGACGGUGUCGUGUCCUCACGAAUGCCAAACUUCGGAUCCAAGCAAGCAUAGGAGGGAAGGGACCUAUUAGUUGUUUUUGUUCGUUUACCAAGUUCGGCAUUAAGGCUUUGCUCUAAUGAAGAGUUCUUUCUAUCGAAAGCUUUCGCCCCUUGUAGGAAGCAUGUCUCUACUUCUUUUCCCAAGAUCAGAUCUCGAACCUAUACUCUAUUGAAUCCCAGGCCCCUUUAUGUUACCAUCACUUGGUUGCUCCAGAAUGAAUGUACUAAACCAUCCAUACUCGAAGAAAGGGCUACUCCCCCUUAAUGGACUAACGAGGACGCGGAAAAACAUCUUUAUAUAAAAUCGCCAUCCCCGGUCUCACCUGCGGCAACCCCUGUCCGACCAAUUGAAGUGGCCUAAGCACGUAUAUAGGUGUAGGAAUUGCUUUUUCUCUACCUUGAACACUGGAGUCUUCUUGUAGCUAUAUCUUACCAAAAGAAAG
rnacentral:lncRNA from 1 species